rnacentral:rRNA from 1 species
UACAGAGGGUGCGAGCGUUGUCCGGAAUCACUGGGCGUAAAGGGCGCGUAGGCGGCCUGAUAAGUCGGGGGUGAAAUCCUGUGGCUUAACCACAGGGCUGCCUCCGAGACUGUCGGGCUCGAGCACAGUAGAGGCAGGUGGAAUUCCCGGUGUAGCGGUGGAAUGCGUAGAGAUCGGGAAGAACAUCGGUGGCGAAGGCGGCCUGCUGGGCUGUUGCUGACGCUGAGGCGCGAAAGCUAGGGGAGCAAACGGG